rnacentral:rRNA from 1 species
GAUGAACGCUGGCGGCGUGCCUAAUACAUGCAAGUCGAGCGAACAGACGAGGAGCUUGCUCCUCUGACGUUAGCGGCGGACGGGUGAGUAACACGUGGAUAACCUACCUAUAAGACUGGGAUAACUUCGGGAAACCGGAGCUAAUACCGGAUAAUAUAUUGAACCGCAUGGUUCAAUAGUGAAAGACGGUUUUGCUGUCACUUAUAGAUGGAUCCGCGCCGCAUUAGCUAGUUGGUAAGGUAACGGCUUACCAAGGCAACGAUGCGUAGCCGACCUGAGAGAGUGAUCGGCCACACUGGAACUGAGACGCGGUCAAGACUCCUACGGGAGGCAGCAGUAGGGAAUCUUCCGCAAUGGGCGAAAGCCUGACGGAGCAACGCCGAGUGAGUGAUGAAGGUCUACGGAUCGUAAAACUCUGUUAUUAGGGAAGAACAAAUGUGUAAGUAACUAUGCACGGCUUGACGGUACCUAGUCAGAAAGCCACGGCUAACUACGUG